UUAAUUGUACUGUAACAUUUUCUCUUAAGAUUAUAUAAGUAGAGUUACAAUAAAUGGUAUAUGAAGGUUUAUAAAAAAAUAAACAUACAUCUUAAAGCAGUAUAUAUACAUAUACUCUAAAGAUAUAGAAGGAUUUAGUAUAUUUGUGUCUGAACUAAAAAGAAACAUGCAUAUUAAUUAACUUCUCUAGAUUGCAAAUGUUUAA
rnacentral:lncRNA from 1 species